AGUGAACGCUGGCGGUAGGCCUAACACAUGCAAGUCGAACGGCAGCACAGUAAGAGCUUGCUCUUACGGGUGGCGAGUGGCGGACGGGUGAGGAAUACAUCGGAAUCUACUUUUUCGUGGGGGAUAACGUAGGGAAACUUACGCUAAUACCGCAUACGACCUACGGGUGAAAGCAGGGGAUCUUCGGACCUUGCGCGAUUGAAUGAGCCGAUGUCGGAUUAGCUAGUUGGCGGGGUAAAGGCCCACCAAGGCGACGAUCCGUAGCUGGUCUGAGAGGAUGAUCAGCCACACUGGAACUGAGACACGGUCCAGACUCCUACGGGAGGCAGCAGUGGGGAAUAUUGGACAAUGGGCGCAAGCCUGAUCCAGCCAUACCGCGUGGGUGAAGAAGGCCUUCGGGUUGUAAAGCCCUUUUGUUGGGAAAGAAAAGCAGCAGGUUAAUACCCCGCUGUUCUGACAGUACCCAAAGAAUAAGCACCGGCUAACUUCGUG
rnacentral:rRNA from 1 species